GCCAUCUGAACUGUAAAGCUCCGCAUCUAAUAACUCGGCCGGAUCCUGGACCGAUUUGCUCGAAUCCAGCCCGUUCACGACAGCCAAUAAUCCCCUCGUCCACAUACAUGCACAUGACGCCGAUGAGCCAUUUCCCAUGGCCUGCAUCUCAUGCUCAUCUGCAUGCAGCGUUCCUGAACUGGAGCCUUUCCACGGCAAGCGGAUUGUAUACGCCAACCAACCAGCUCACCGGCCUUCUAAUGGCAAAUUUUCGAUCCCGCGGCUGCCCCUGUUGACCCGUGCCUUGUGCAUUCUAGGUGCCCGCUGGGUCCAUUGCCAUGGGCUUGUUGGCUGCAAGUAUCAACACGUAGACUUAUCGGAUCUGUGCUAUCCGUAUGCGUUGUCAACACAGCGUACGCCACAGAUGCAUCCACGCGUCGACCAGCGCCUCGUGCAAACUAGGAAGGAGGACGGAGAGGGACAGGUGAGGGGCCAACACAUGAAUUGAAAAAGAGUAAGCUUUGAAGAGACACGCGGAGAGCACGAGCAAGGAGGUCGGGGCAAAACACUACUCUGACCACUUGGUUCACGCUAGCUCAUACCUCUGUUAUUUCUUCAUGUGUAAUUAUGCUGGCUGUUCAUGGGAUAUUCAGACUGAAAUGUUUCAUAAAUAUAUUUCGUUUGUCCACGGGCGUCCACGUAUAAAUUUAUGCAGCCUAAAUUAGUGGGUGUGGUCUUAAA